rnacentral:rRNA from 1 species
GAUGAACGCUGGCGGCGUGCUUAACACAUGCAAGUCGAACGAUGAAGCCCAGCUUGCUGGGUGGAUUAGUGGCGAACGGGUGAGUAACACGUGAGUAACCUGCACUUAACUCUGGGAUAAGCCUGGGAAACUGGGUCUAAUACCGGAUAGGAGCGUCCACCGCAUGGUGGGUGUUGGAAAGAUUUAUCGGUUUUGGAUGGACUCGCGGCCUAUCAGCUUGUUGGUGAGGUAAUGGCUCACCAAGGCGACGACGGGUAGCCGGCCUGAGAGGGUGACCGGCCACACUGGGACUGAGACACGGCCCAGACUCCUACGGGAGGCAGCAGUGGGGAAUAUUGCACAAUGGGCGCAAGCCUGAUGCAGCGACGCCGCGUGAGGGAUGACGGCCUUCGGGUUGUAAACCUCUUUCAGUAGGGAAGAAGCGAAAGUGACGGUACCUGCAGAAGAAGCACCGGCUAACUACGUG